rnacentral:rRNA from 1 species
UACGAGGGGGGCGAGCGUUGUUCGGAAUUAUUGGGCGUAAAGGGUGCGUAGGCGGUUUGGUAAGUCUGAUGUGAAAUCUAUGGGCUCAACUCAUAGUCUGCAUCGGAAACUGCCGGGCUUGAGUAUGGGAGAGGUGAGUGGAACUGCGAGUGUAGAGGUGAAAUUCGUAGAUAUUCGCAAGAACACCAGUGGCGAAGGCGGCUCACUGGCCCGAUACUGACGCUGAGGCACGAAAGCGUGGGGAGCAAACAGG